GGAAGUUGAUCAUUGCCGCCAUGAAAAUGGCGAUUCUUUGAGCCGAAAAGACUCGCACUCUGCGUGCGCGUGUGUAUGUGUUUGUCUGUGCGAUGGAAAAUGACAGGUUUUUAUUAUUGAAUUUUUGCUUUAACAUUAUUUAUUACUAUUAGGGGAGGAAAAUAUUAAUUAAUAUAUUAUAUAGGUGGAUUGGAUCGCUCAGGCUCACCACAUGGUGUAGAAAUUUCAACCCGUCUUUUUUGUAUACAGUAAAAUCGGAGGGUCCAACUCCAAUUCUCCAUCGUUAUAAUAUCUUGAAGGCUCGAAAUCACGGUCGAGUUUCAUCCCUCGAGGGCCAUCGACGCUCAACCUCGAGAUUGUAUGAGACCGACAGUUACGGAAAGAAAGUGGGGAGUUCCCAAGGCAUGAAGCUAGAGCCGACAAAAUCUGGCAGGCUAGUCUGAACCCGUAUCGUGGCAUUAACUAUGUGUCUCAUCUCCAUAUCUUUGUAAUAAAUGCAUAUGUACUAUGUUGGGAUUCCCCUCUUAUAUAAAGGGGAUCCUAGUCAUUUUGUAAACAUCUAUUACUCCAUAUUAAAUACACAAGAACAUUAUCUCUG
rnacentral:lncRNA from 1 species